GAUUAUGGCUCAGGAUGAACGCUAGCGACAGGCUUAACACAUGCAAGUCGAGAGGCAGCAUAGAAGUAGCAAUACUUGGUGGCGACCGGCGCACGGGUGAGUAACGCGUAUGCAACCUACCUAUCAGAGGGGAAUAACCCGGCGAAAGUCGGACUAAUACCGCAUAAAACAGGGGCACCGCAUGGUGAUAUUUGUUAAAGAAAUUCGCUGAUAGAUGGGCAUGCGUUCCAUUAGGUAGUUGGUGAGGUAACGGCUCACCAAGCCGACGAUGGAUAGGGGAACUGAGAGGUUGGUCCCCCACACUGGUACUGAGACACGGACCAGACUCCUACGGGAGGCAGCAGUGAGGAAUAUUGGUCAAUGGGCGGGAGCCUGAACCAGCCAAGUCGCGUGAAGGAAGAAGGAUCUAUGGUUCGUAAACUUCUUUUGCAGGGGAAUAAAGUGCAGGACGUGUCCUGUUUUGUAUGUACCCUGAGAAUAAGGAUCGGCUAACUCCGUGCCAGCCGCCGC
rnacentral:rRNA from 1 species